AGCGCAGCGGCCGUUGCUCCCCCCUCGCGCGGCCGCCGUGAGGCCGCCAUGAGGCGCCGGGAGCGGAGGCGUUGGCGGAAUGGUACUGGCACAAAACAGUAAUACUAACAACCUUCUCAGCAAGACCCCCUUCGUCCUGCGAAGGAGUAGGAGCCAGCUACGACAGAGCUAAUUGGGAGUUAAGUGUCUAAUUGCCACGAGUGUCCACGUUUGACUGUUACGAGCUACUGCUGCCUAACCUUGGUUUGACUUUCCCUGUCCCCAAGGGACAGUGAAACAGGAUUGCUGAAAGACAAAUCUGGAGGAUUUGCUAGUCACUUGUAAACCUUCUCACAAAAAAGAGGAGACCAAAUAAAGAAACAGGGAGUAUGCUCAUGUGCAAAUACUACCAACGUGAGAACCAGUCUGAACCAAUGGGACAUAUUUUUAGAAGCAUAAACAUAUUUGUCAAUGGCUUACACAGUUGAGGUCCAGAUAUUAUUCCUGCUUUCUCUCUGUGGACUUUUUGGCUUCUCUGCUAAACCAGAUAAUGCUUCAAUCAGUCCCAGACUGGACUUUUCAACAUGAAGUAAACUUGUACAUGAGGCUGCCGAGGAAUUUUCAGCAAACUUUGAAACUGAAAACCUCUACAUACUGAAGGGUGGUUUUUCAGAGAGAUCUAAAUACUGCUGUAUUUGUAUUCCAACAUAUGGAAGAGAACACUGAGACACAGGAGUUGCAGAUGUCACACUACAUUUUUACCAUAAUAUCAAGAACCUGAAUAGUAGAGCCAUAGUCAGUAUCCUAUGACUGAUCUCUGCAACACUGAACACAGAGUAUCUACUCACGAAUAUUGGAGUAUUGCCUUCAAAUGUCUAAAGCAUUAAAAAUCAUGGAAAUUUUAAACAAAGAAAAUCAUCAAAAAGGGAAAAGCUUCAAAAGACUUUUCACAAGAUUAAAAAAAAAAUGUAAAAUUGUCACAUCUUUUACUGACCCAUAGGCAUAAGCUUGUGCUGCCUACCACAGCAUCUGCCUGGAACUAACUAACCACCUACUAAAUCUGGAUUCUUCCCUGUGGUGAGGUUGCUGUCGUGCAGGGAGAGCACAAGCCAGCGAGAGGAUAAAAGCACCGUUACUUUCAACAGGAGUUACUUUGAGAGGAGAUAAAGCUACCAACAGAGACAUACGUUAAUAAAACCCAGCAGUGCUAUAGUGUCCAAUGAAGAUACAAGAUUCACUCAGAUGACGCUGUUGGAAGAUGAUCUUUAAGGACAAAUUCUACAACUGUUCAUAUGCCAGAAAAGAAAGUAAUAAGUAUCAACUUAAUAAAUACUCCUUCUUCUGGGA